ACAGAAGGGUAAAUGUGGGCUAGGUGAGUGCGACUUGCAAAACCAACACUGGGGCAGAAAAAAACAACUCCAAGUAUGUUCUCUGUGGAGUUGGAAGAUUCACUCACUGUCCCUCUCCACCCUGCUGACUGCCCAAGAGGCCAACCUGCAAGAUCUGUGUCAACGGUUCCCAGCCUUAUGGCUUCCAGGCUGAAGAUUCAUCCUUACCUAGGACGUGCC